CAGUCGCCACGGUAAUACGGAGGGCGCGAGCGUUACCCGGAUUUACUGGGCGUAAAGGGCGUGUAGGCGGCCCGGGGCGUCCCAUGUGAAAGGCCACGGCUCAACCGUGGAGGAGCGUGGGAUACGCUCAGGCUAGAGGGUGGGAGAGGGUGGUGGAAUUCCCGGAGUAGCGGUGAAAUGCGCAGAUACCGGGAGGAACGCCGAUGGCGAAGGCAGCCACCUGGUCCACUUCUGACGCUGAGGCGCGAAAGCGUGGGGAGCAAACCGGAUUAGAUACCCGCGUAGUCCCUGUCUCUUAUAC
rnacentral:rRNA from 1 species